rnacentral:lncRNA from 1 species
UCCUAAAGAUAGGAGUAAUAAAGACUUCCUUUCUUAUUCCCAUAGCCAAUAAAGGACAUAAAAAUCCCAGUUUAAACCCAAAGGCACCGUAUUAUGGAUAUCCAAGGAUUUGAAAGGAUGAAGCAGCUAUGCAGAGGUCAGCUGCAAGAGGGCGACGCGACAAGAAAUGCAAAAUCCAACAGAGCUCCUGCAGUUCCAGCAAUCUCUGUUCACAAAGUUCAUGACAUGAGAACAGGCUUAAAUGAUGAUGCCUAUUUUUUUUAAAAACAGCUGUGAAUCUAUGACCCAUCUGAGAGUGAAAUACAACAUCUUUCAGACUUGACAAGUAGGAUAAUGUAUAUAUAUUUGUAUAUGUUAUCUCUAAUAUCUGUCUCACAGGACCAUUAGGAGAAAUGAGACAGCAGAUGUAGG